CUUCUUUUUACAAUGAACCCCGUCAAAUUUAGGGUUAAACUGACGAUAGAGUUUAAUGAAGCACACUAAUACGUUUCAUUAGCCAGUGUGAAUCCGCACCGUCGAUUCCUGUUAUGUUUUACUCAGCUUUUUCUACGAACCACAAUGAAGAUUAGUCAUGUCACUUUUUGGUAUUAUCCUUGAUGUAUGUAAGGUAUGAAUCCAUACCGCUGCAUUGGCCCCGGCUGUGAAUAGAAGGAAGUUCAGGGAAAAGACCCUCGGGGACCCGAAGCUCCCGCGUGGCGCCCAAGCAAAUGGUUUUUGCGGGAUAAAGCGACCAAGACCGGGAUGCAGCAGCCCGGCUGGGUGUCCACACUGUGCAGAGCGUCCAGCCCACGUGAUGCUGAGCAGCAUCUACAAUCCCAGCUGUUUAAUCACA
ensembl:lncRNA